GACGCCGUGCCGACAGACAACCCGGUCUACGCGCAGAUGGUGGCGCUCGUCAGGCAAAUACAGAGCAACAGGGAAUUGUUCAACUCGUGCCUCAUGCAGCUGAGCAGUGAACACAAGGAGGCGCUAGAGAUCGCGCUCUCCACCUAACAUGCUCGCCGACCGUCUCCGCCUCACCUCCAUUACACUCCGCUCCCGGGCUAAGGCUGGGCUGGGCUAUGCUGUUAUGCUGACGUCUUCACUAUACAACAUCAAAACGUGCCAAUUUUAACAGCUCACUGACAGUGAACUAGAAUUGUAGCUGUAACCAAUUAAUUUGAGGAUCAGCCGCCGAAAGAUUUCAGCAUAACACUGCCUGAGGCUACUCCUCCGUUGCCAGGCUCCACCCUCAUCACAUCACGACAAAUGCUUACUCCCUCAUCAAAUGCCUGCCUACAUAAUAUAUAUACUAUGUAAUGAAAUACAUAUUAUAAUGUAAUGUUUAGUGUACCGAAUGGAUGAAAUGACUGAUGUGUUACUACAUAAAUUGUUGUAAUUAUUACUGAC
rnacentral:lncRNA from 1 species